AGAGUUUGAUCAUGGCUCAGAACGAACGCUGGCGGCACGUUUUAAGCAUGCAAGUCGAGGGGCAGCAGUGUAGCAAUACAGCUGGCGACCGGCGCACGGGUGAGUAACACGUGAGUAUCUGUCUUUGGGUGGGGGAUAGCCUGUGGAAACAUAGGGUAAAACCGCAUAUGCCGAGAGGUAAAAGCUUCUAUUGAAGCGCCUGGGGGUGAGCUCGCGGCUGAUUAGCUAGUUGGUGGGGUAAAUGCUUACCAAGGCAACGAUCAGUAGCCGGCCUGAGAGGGUGAACGGCCACGAUGGAACUGAGACACGGUCCAUACUCCUACGGGAGGCAGCAGCUAAGAAUCUUCCGCAAUGGGGGAGACCCUGACGGAGCGAUGCCGCGUGGAUGAUGAAGGCGGAAACGUUGUAAAAUCCUUUUAUAUGGGAAGAAUAAGUAUACUGAGAGAAACGGUAUAUGAUGACGGUACCAUAUGAAUAAGCUUCGGCUAACUACGUGCCAGCAGCCGCGGUAAUACGUAGGAAGCAAGCGUUGUUCGGAAUUAUUGGGCGUAAAGGGCAUGUAGGUGGCUUAUUAAGUGUGGAUUGAAAGACCGGAG
rnacentral:rRNA from 1 species